rnacentral:rRNA from 1 species
UGGGGAAUUUUGGACAAUGGGGGCAACCCUGAUCCAGCAAUGCCGCGUGAGUGAAGAAGGCCUUCGGGUUGUAAAGCUCUUUUGUCAGGGAAGAAACGGUCGUGGCUAAUACCCAUGGCUAAUGACGGUACCUGAAGAAUAAGCACCGGCUAACUACGUGCCAGCAGCCGCGGUAAUACGUAGGGUGCGAGCGUUAAUCGGAAUUACUGGGCGUAAAGCGUGCGCAGGCGGUUGUGCAAGACAGAUGUGAAAUCCCCGGGCUUAACCUGGGAAUUGCAUUUGUGACUGCACGGCUAGAGUGUGUCAGAGGGGGGUAGAAUUCCACGUGUAGCAGUGAAAUGCGUAGAGAUGUGGAGGAAUACCGAUGGCGAAGGCAGCCCCCUGGGAUAACACUGACGCUCAUGCACGAAAGCGUGGGGAGCAAACAGGAUUAGGAUACCC